AGUGAACGUUGGCGGCGUGGAUUAGGCAUGCAAGUCGAGCGAGAACCGUAGCAAUACGGGGACAGCGGCGAAAGGGACAGUAAUGUGUAGGUACCUACCCCCGGGUUCGGGAUAGCUGCGGGAAACUGCAGGUAAUACCGAAUAAUGUCUCCGGACCAAAGGUGUGAUUCCACCUGGGGAGGGGCCUGCAUCCUAUUAGCUUGUUGGUGGGGUAACGGCCUACCAAGGCGACGAUGGGUAGCGGGUGUGAGAGCAUGACCCGCGUCAUUGGGACUGAGACACUGCCCAGACACCUACGGGUGGCUGCAGUCGAGAAUCUUCGGCAAUGGGCGCAAGCCUGACCAAGCGACGCCGCGUGCGGGAUGAAGGCCUUCGGGUUGUAAACCGCUGUCGUAGAGGAGGAAAUGCAGGGGGGUUCUCCCCUUUGCUUGACCUAUUCUAGGAGGAAGUACGGGCUAAGUUCGUGCCAGCCGCCGCUGUAA
rnacentral:rRNA from 1 species